rnacentral:rRNA from 1 species
AAUAUUGCACAAUGGGGGAAACCCUGAUGCAGCCAUGCCGCGUGUGUGAAGAAGGCUCUAGGGUUGUAAAGCACUUUCAGUGGGGAGGAAAGGGUGUUCGUUAAUAUCGUUCAUCUGUGACGUUACCCACAGAAGAAGCACCGGCUAACUCCGUGCCAGCAGCCGCGGUAAUACGGAGGGUGCAAGCGUUAAUCGGAAUUACUGGGCGUAAAGCGCGCGUAGGCGGUUGUCUAAGCUAGAUGUGAAAGCCCCGGGCUUAACCUGGGAACUGCAUUUAGAACUGGGCAGCUAGAGUAUCAGAGAGGUGGGCGGAACUACAAGUGUAGAGGUGAAAUUCGUAGAUAUUUGUAGGAAUGCCGAUUGGGAAGCCAGCUCACUGGAUGAAUACUGACGCUGAAGCGCGAAAGCGUGGGGAGCAAACGGGAUUAGAUACCCCGGUAGUCCACGCCGUA